rnacentral:rRNA from 1 species
CGCCGCGUGGAGGAUGAAGGCCGUAWGGUUGUAAACUCKUGUUAGAGGAGAAGAAUAGUACCGAUUGGAUCGGUAUUUGASUGUACCCUCAGAAAAAGCCCCGGCUAACURCGUGCCMGCAGCCGCGGUAAUACGUAGGGSGCAAGCGUUGUCCGGAUUUACUGGGUGUAAAGGGCGCGCAGGCGGGAUAGCAAGUCAGAGGUGAAAUCCUACAKCUUAACUGUAGAACUGCCUUUGAUACUGUUAUUCUUGAGUUCGGGAGARAGAGACGGAAUUCCAGGUGUAGUGGUGAAAUACGUARAUAUCUGGAAGAACACCAGUUGCGAAGGCGGUCUCUUGGUCCGAUACUGACGCUKAGGCGCGAAAGCGUGGGGAGCAAACAGGAUUAGAUACCCUGGUAGUCCACGCUGUAAACGAUGAAUACUAGGUGUUGGGUUUUUMACUCAGUGCCGCAGCU